UACAGAGACCUCAAGCGUUAUCCGGAUUUAUUGGGCGUAAAGCGUCCGCAGGUGGUUUAGCGGGUCAGGGGUUAAAACUAACAGCUUAACUGUUGGAUCGCCUCUGAAACUACUAAACUCGAGGUUGGGAGAGGUAAGCGGAAUUCUCGGUGUAGUCGUAAUAAGCGCUGAUAUCGAGAAGAACACCAAAUGCGAAGGCAGCUUACUGGAACACACCUGACACUCAGGGACGAAAGCGUGGGGAG
rnacentral:rRNA from 1 species